GCUUGUCUCAAAGAUUAAGCCAUGCAUGUCUUAGUGUAAAUAACUCUUAUGAAACUGCGAAUGGCUCAUUAAAUCAGUUAUCAAAUACGUGAUGGUCGCCUACUACAUGGAUAACCGUAGUAAUUCUAGAGCUAAUACAUGCACAAAAUCCCGACUUACGAAGGGAUGUAUUUAUUAGAUACAAACCAACAUCGUGGUGAUUCAUAAUAACUCCUCGAAUCGCAUGGCCUUGCGCCGGCGAUGUUUCAUUCAAAUUUCUGCCCUAUCAAUUUGAUGGUAGGAUAGAGGCCUACCAUGGUGGUAACGGGUGACGGAGAAUUAGGGUUCGAUUCCGGAGAGGGAGCCUGAGAAACGGCUACCACAUCCAAGGAAGGCAGCAGG
rnacentral:rRNA from 1 species